AUUGAACGCUGGCGGCAUGCCUAACACAUGCAAGUCGAACGGGGCAGCAAUGCCUAGUGGCGGACGGGUGAGGAAUACGUAGGAAUCUGCACUUAAGUGGGGGAUAACCAGGGGAAACCCUGACUAAUACCGCAUGAUCUCUUCGGAGCAAAGAGGGGGACCGCAAGGCCUCUCGCUUCUGGAUGAUCCUACGUCUGAUUAGCUAGUUGGUAGGGUAAAGGCCUACCAAUGCGACGAUCAGUAACUGGUCUGAGAGGAUGAUCAGUCACACCGGAACUGAGACACGGUCCGGACUCCUACGGGAGGCAGCAGUGGGGAAUAUUGGACAAUGGGCGCAAGCCUGAUCCAGCAAUGCCGCGUGUGUGAAGAAGGCCUUCGGGUUGUAAAGCACUUUAGCCUGGAAAGAAAAAACUUUGGUUAACACCCAAAGUCUUGACGGUACCAGGAGAAUAAGCACCGGCUAACUCUGUGCCAGCCGCCGCAGUAACAC
rnacentral:rRNA from 1 species